rnacentral:rRNA from 1 species
UACGGAGGAUCCGAGCGUUAUCCGGAUUUAUUGGGUUUAAAGGGUGCGUAGGUGGAAAUGUAAGUCAGUGGUGAAAUCCUGCAGCUUAACUGUAGAAUAGCCGUUGAAACUGUGUUUCUUGAGUACAUUUGAGGUAGGCGGAAUGUGGUGUGUAGCGGUGAAAUGCAUAGAUAUACCACAGAACACCGAUUGCGAAGGCAGCUUACUAAACCAUAACUGACACUGAAGCACGAAAGCGUGGGUAUCAAACAGGAUUAGAUACCCGGGUAGU